AGCAGCCGCGGUAAUUCCAGCUCCAAUAGCGUAUAUUAAAGUUGUUGCAGUUAAAAAGCUCGUAGUUGAAUUUCGGGGUUAGUAGGUUGGUCAUGCCUCUGGUAUGUACUGGUCUCACUGAUUCCUCCUUCCUGAUGAGCCGUAAUGCCAUUAAUUUGGUGUUGCGGGGAAUUUGGACUGUUACUUUGAAAAAUUAGAGUGUUUAAAGCAAGCUAACGCUUGAAUACAUUAGCAUGGAAUAAUGAAAUAGGACGUUCGAUCCUAUUUUGUUGGUUUCUAGGAUUGACGUAAUGAUUAAUAGGGAUAGUUGGGGGCAUUAGUAUUCAAUUGUCAGAGGUGAAAUUCUUGGAUUUAUUGAAGACUAACUACUGCGAAAGCAUUUGCCAA
rnacentral:rRNA from 1 species